rnacentral:rRNA from 1 species
AUACGUAGGUGACAAGCGUUAUCCGGAUUUAUUGGGUUUAAAGGGAGCGUAGGUGGACAGUUAAGUCAGUUGUGAAAGUUUGCGGCUCAACCGUAAAAUUGCAGUUGAUACUGGCUGUCUUGAGUACAGUAGAGGUGGGCGGAAUUCGUGGUGUAGCGGUGAAAUGCUUAGAUAUCACGAAGAACUCCGAUUGCGAAGGCAGCUCACUGGACUGCAACUGACACUGAUGCUCGAAAGUGUGGGUAUCAAACAGGAUUAGAUACCCUGGUAGUCCACACAGUAAACGAUGAAUACUCGCUGUUUGCGAUAUACAGUAAGCGGCCAAGCGAAAGCAUUAAGUAUUCCACCUGGGGAGUACGCCGGCAACGGUGAAACUCAAAUGAAUUGACGGGG